rnacentral:rRNA from 1 species
UACGUAGGCAGCAAGCGUUGUUCGGAGUUACUGGGCGUAAAGGGUGUGUAGGCGGUUGGAUAAGUGUGGUGUGAAAUCUCCCGGCUCAACUGGGAGGUGCGCUACAAACUGUCUGACUAGAGUGUGGGAUGGGGUAAGUGGAAGUUCCAGGUGUAGCGGUGAAAUGCGUGAGAUAUCUGGAGGAACACCGGGUGGCGAAGGCGACGUCCUGGACCGGCAGUUGACGCGUGAGGCGCGAAAGCGUGGG